rnacentral:rRNA from 1 species
CCUACGGGUGGCAGCAGUGAGGAAUAUUGGUCAAUGGGCGGAAGCCUGAACCAGCCAAGUAGCGUGCAGGAUGACGGCCCUACGGGUUGUAAACUGCUUUUAUACGGGAAUAACGCGCCUUACGUGUAGGGCUUUGCAUGUACCGUAUGAAUAAGGACCGGAUAAUUCCGUGCCAGCAGUCGCGGUAAUACGGAGGGUCCGGGCGUUUUCCGGAUUUAUUGGGUUUAAGGGUAGCGUAGGCCGCAUGUCAAUCGUGCUGUGAAAUGUCCGGGCUCAACCCGGGCCUUGCAGCGCGAACUGGCGUGCUUGAGUCCGCGGAUGGCAGGCAGAAUUCGACGUGUAGCGGUGAAAUGCU